CCUACGGGUGGCUGCAGUGGGGAAUAUUGGACAAUGGGGGGAACCCUGAUCCAGCGACGCCGCGUGAGUGAAGAAGUAUUUCGGUAUGUAAAGCUCUAUCAGCAGGGACGAAAAUGACGGUACCUGCAGGAGAAGCCCCGGCUGACUACGUGCCAGCAGCCGCGGGAAUACGUCGGGGGCAAGCGUUAUCCGGAUUUACUGGGUGUAAAGGGGGCGCAGGUGGCGAUGCAAGCCAGGAGUUAAAUCCCGGGGCCCAACCCCGGGACUGCCCUUGGAACUGCGUGGCUGGAGUGCAGGAGAGGCAGGCGGAAUUCGUGGUGUAGCGGUGAAAUGCGUAGAUAUCAGGAGGAACACCGGUGGCGAAGGCGGCCUGCUGGACUGCAACUGACGUUGAGGCCCGAAAGCGUGGGGAGCAAACAGGAUUAGAUACCCCGGUAGUC
rnacentral:rRNA from 1 species